AAUAGUUUUGGCACUUUGUAACACAGUGUUUUACCUGGGUAAUGAAGUCCAGCAAAACUUUUCUGUUGAAGGACUGUUAAUGUGAGUGAACUCGUUUGGAAGAUGUUAAUGCUUAGAAAAGAGAAAUCUCACGGGAUUGUUCCUCAUUUCUCCCUGGUAUAAAAUCUGAAACAAAAUUCUGUUUUGAUUCCCUCUCAGAAGACACCAGAAAGUGCUAAAAUGUUGCAGAUAUUGGCUCCUUUUAGCCUGUUUCUUUAGCAGUUAGAGAACUCUGAGAUGAGAGAUUUUCUCCCCCAGAAGAUAUUUUUUAUUGCUCUGUGUCUGAAGACCAAACACCUUCUCUGCAGCUGCGUUAUAACAAAAACAAGCCACACAUUCCAGUGGAUCAGUGAUUGCUGCAAGCAAUGUGAAUUUUAA
rnacentral:lncRNA from 1 species